AUUGAACGCUGGCGGCAGGCCUAACACAUGCAAGUCGAGCGGAUGAAGGGAGCUUGCUCCUGGAUUCAGCGGCGGACGGGUGAGUAAUGCCUAGGAAUCUGCCUGGUAGUGGGGGAUAACGUCCGGAAACGGGCGCUAAUACCGCAUACGUCCUGAGGGAGAAAGUGGGGGAUCUUCGGACCUCACGCUAUCAGAUGAGCCUAGGUCGGAUUAGCUAGUUGGUGGGGUAAAGGCCUACCAAGGCGACGAUCCGUAACUGGUCUGAGAGGAUGAUCAGUCACACUGGAACUGGGACACGGUCCAGACUCCUACGGGAGGCAGCAGUGGGGAAUAUUGGACAAUGGGCGAAAGCCUGAUCCAGCCAUGCCGCGUGUGUGAAGAAGGUCUUCGGAUUGUAAAGCACUUUAAGUUGGGAGGAAGGGCAGUAAGUUAAUACCUUGCUGUUUUGACGUUACCAACAGAAUAAGCACCGGCUAACUUCGU
rnacentral:rRNA from 1 species